rnacentral:rRNA from 1 species
AUCGAACGCUAGCGGGAUGCUUUACACAUGCAAGUCGAACGAUUGGCGGACGGGUGUGUAACAUAUCGGAACGUGCUCAGUAGCGGGGGUUACUUUCUCGAAAGAUUGCUUAAUACCGCUAAGCAUCGGUGCGGCCGUUAUCGGAUUUGCUAGUGGGCGGGGUAAAGGCUCACAAAGGCAACGAACCGUAACCGGUUUGAGAGGGCGACCGGCCACACUGGAACUGAGAAACGGCCCAGACUCCUACGGGGGGAGGCAGUGGGGAAUUUUGGACAAUGGGGGAAGUCCUGAUCCGGCCCGCCCGCGUGUGUAAAAGGGCCUUCGGGUUGUAAGGUACUUUUGGCAGAGAGGCGGUAACUACAGAGUAAGCACCGGCUAACUACGUGCCAGCAGCCGCGGUAAUAC